rnacentral:rRNA from 1 species
GACGAACGCUGGCGGCGUGCUUAACACAUGCAAGUCGAACGAAGAGCGAUGGACGCUUGCUUCUAUCAAUCUUAGUGGCGAACGGGUGAGUAACGCGUAAUCAACCUGCCCUUCAGAGGGGGACAACAGUUGGAAACGACUGCUAAUACCGCAUACGAUCUAAUCUCGGCAUCGAGGAUAGAUGAAAGGUGGCCUCUACAUGUAAGCUAUCACUGAAGGAGGGGAUUGCGUCUGAUUAGCUAGUUGGAGGGGUAACGGCCCACCAAGGCGAUGAUCAGUAGCCGGGCUGAGAGGAUGAACGGCCACAUUGGGACUGAGACACGGCCCAGACUCCUACGGGAGGCAGCAGUGGGGAAUCUUCCGCAAUGGACGAAAGUCUGACGGAGCAACGCCGCGUGAGUGAUGACGGCCUUCGGGUUGUAAAGCUCUGUUAAUCGGGACGAAAGGCCUUCUUGCGAAUAGUGAGAAGGAUUGACGGUACCGGAAUAGAAAGCCACGGCUAACUACGUG